UACGUAGGCAGCGAGCGUUGUUCGGAAUUACUGGGCGUAAAGAGUGUGUAGGCGGUGCUCCAAGUCUGUCGUGAAAUCUCCCGGCUCAACUGGGAGGGUGCGGCGGAAACUAGAGUGCUCGAGUGUGGGAGAGGUAAGCGGAAUUCCUGGUGUAGCGGUGAAAUGCGUAGAUAUCAGGAGGAACACCUGCGGUGUAGACAGCUUACUGGACCACGACUGACGCUGAGACACGAAAGCGUGGGUAGCAAACAGG
rnacentral:rRNA from 1 species